rnacentral:lncRNA from 1 species
CCACCGGCUGCAAGGGAGAGAAUCGUCAGCACCGCCAAGAUCCAACGCCCUUCACUGCGCUGCACACACAGCACUGUCCUGACAUUGAAUAAAUAGUAAAAAAAGGGAGAUGGAGAGAGAGAGUGAAACGUACACCCUCCAUUUCACACAGUGUCCAGAAAGCCUGGCUGUCAGCAUCCCGCUGGACUCCCUCCAGACAGGGUUCGCCUCUGCCUGGCGUGAGGACAAGGGCCUGCUGUGCAGCCGGUGAAGGUGGGUCCUGGGCUCUCGGCAGAGCACAGUUACAAUCCCUCUGGAGCAGGAUCCAGGACUCGUUACGAGUCUUUCCAUUGGCUCUGCUGAGCUCUGGAUCAGGCCCAGGUCGUGUUGCAUCACAUUUCUUUACAGCCUCCUUACAUUCCCCUCUCUGCACUCCUCUGUUGACAGAAAGCACUUGCCCUUUUUCUGCCAUGUAGGAAGAGGCUCAGCCCCUUAAUCAGACCUAAAUAAUGGGACCAGCUUGCUGCUGUUUUCUAGGUCCCUGCAGCAUGCUGAAUUUAGCAGAAAGAGAAGACUGUGAGAGGAAUUGCCCCUGAAUCAAAAUUAUGCUCGCAAUUUCCUCACCUUAAAAAGGAGCAUUUUUACCUGAGAAAGGUAACAAAACCUUUUGAUAUUUCAAUGGUUUUGCUGGAGCCUCCCACAACACCUGUGGCAGCCUCAGCCUUUCUUAUCCCUUUCUGAUGUCUGCACAGAUAAUUCUGAACACAGGUUCCUGCUUCAGCAAAUCUGCAGAUCUGAGCUCAGAUCCUGCAAGGGCUCUAUGGGUGCAGGACUGAGCUCAUAAAUUGAAAUUACAUUUGUUAUUAGUAGUGCCACUGCAGUCCUGUAGAAAUCCAGACAUAGUAUUUGACUCCAGUGUUUCCUGCAGCAGUGAAUUCCACUCUGGGAAGAAGCAUUUCCUUUCAUUUUCCUGAAGUUGUCCUUCUGCUGUGGGAUUUAAGACAAAGAUUCAUUUUUCUUUCCAUUAAAAUUAAAAUACUGGAUGCUAGCGGAAAGUGGUUUCUGGCUCUUUGUAAAUAUCAAAACCUCAGACCUUACUAGCUGUGAUAGCUUUCCAAAGCUAUUCUUCCAGGCAUUUCAGCAUCUAUUUCACUGUGUCCUAGGAAAGAGGGUGAGAGUUUCAGAACAGGGUACAUAUUCUGCUUAGAAAGUUGUUUGAUAAAAUAAAUAAAGCAUUUAAGUAAGGAGAACCCA